GACGAACGCUGGCGGCGUGCUUAACACAUGCAAGUCGAACGGAAAGGCCCUGCUUUUGUGGGGUGCUCGAGUGGCGAACGGGUGAGUAACACGUGAGUAACCUGCCCUUGACUUUGGGAUAACUUCAGGAAACUGGGGCUAAUACCGGAUAGGAGCUCCUGCUGCAUGGUGGGGGUUGGAAAGUUUCGGCGGUUGGGGAUGGACUCGCGGCUUAUCAGCUUGUUGGUGGGGUAGUGGCUUACCAAGGCUUUGACGGGUAGCCGGCCUGAGAGGGUGACCGGCCACAUUGGGACUGAGAUACGGACCAGACUCCUACGGGAGGCAGCAGUGGGGAAUAUUGCACAAUGGGCUGAAGCCUGAUGCAGCAACGCCGCGUGCGGGAUGACGGCCUUCGGGUUGUAAACCGCUUUCGCCUGUGACGAAGCGUGAGUGACGGUAAUGGGUAAAGAAGCACCGGCUAACUACGUG
rnacentral:rRNA from 1 species